AACAUGGUAAAGGGGUGGACUGAGGGGGCGUGGAACGUAAUGAAGGUGAGGACUGAGGUAAAGGGGUGGACUGAGGGGGUGUGGAACGUAAUGAAGGUGAGGACUGAGGUAAAGGGGUGGACUGAGGGGGCGUGGAACGUAGUGAAGGUGAGAACUGAGGUAAAGGUGUGGCAUGAGGGGCCGUGGAACCUAAUAAAGGUGAGAACUGAGGUAAAGGUGUGGCAUGAGGGGCUGUGGAACCUAAUAAAGGUGAGAACUGAGGUAAAGGUGUGGCAUGAGGGGCCGUGGAACCUAAUAAAGGUGAGAACCGAGGUAAAGGUGUGGCAUGAGGGGCCGUGGAACCUAAUAAAGGUGAGAAUUGAGGUAAAGGGGUGGACUGAGGGGGCGUGGAACGUAAUGAAGGUGAGGACUGAGGUAAAGGGGUGGACUGAGGGGGCGUGGAACGUAAUGAAGGUGAG
ensembl:lncRNA